GGCGGUGUUUGGUUUCCCUCUACCUGGCUCACUGCCCAGAAAGGCUGAGCACCAUGCACGGUACCAAUGGGCUGGUGAGAACAGAGGUGAGUGGAGGAAGGAAAGUAAGGUGUGGGGGUUUGUGCCUCCUUCCCUCCCCAAAGCUGAUCUGUCCCUCAACAGUCACUUGCUAUCCUGCCUCUCUGUCCCUUGGGCUACUGGGGAGAUGGCCUUUCUCUGACCAGCUGGGGUUGCUUUCCACCCUACCCAAGUGCCUGUGAGUUGCCCCGGGCACAACUGCACAGGGAUACCUCUUGAUUCUUCUUUCAAAAAGAAGCCUGUCAUUCAUCUGUAAGGCUGCAGUUCACUCACCACCUUCAACCUUCAAGAUCAGUUUUAUGAUUUUUUUGCUGUGUUUUGUCCACUCUUGCCUGGCCAUUGUGGGGACUCCUCUAACUGGCAGUUUUUAGUUCCAUCUCCCCAUGGUGCAGGCUUAGACCCUAUUGGGUCUGAGCUCCUGUUCUCAAACCUGCUUCCUCUCGUUUUUUCUUUCUUUCACAGGUAUCAGAUCUGCACAAGAGACUGAAGACUUUCCUGCCUCCUCUCCAUUUUUUACUCUCCUCAAGCCUUCACCCAGGUAAAUCAGUCAUGUUUCUAACUCCAAUUCUGGCAUCUGCUUCCUGGUGACACCAAUUAGCACCUGGCCUUACUAAACUCCACUCACUGUCUCCUCUCUGUCAGGCCCAUGACUGAUGCACUUUGAUAUUCAUUUAAUAAAAUUUCACAAGAGUUAACAUAUUGACUUGGGGAGGAAAAAGUCCCUGGAUCCCUCCAGAGCUGCCCUGCCCACGAUCGUACCCAACAAAGAAAUGGAACUCAGAGACCACAGUUCCUGUAGCAUCAUCCAAUACUCAUGCCCUGGCGCACCCGGGCCUGUGGAAGGGAUUCUAGGAAAACAGGUAAAGGUUGGCGAGAGUUGAGAAGCUGCUGGACUGUGGGGAACAAGAAGUGACAGUAACAGGAAGCCCAAGGCUCUGGAUUUUUUCAAUAGGACCUUAGGAAAACACAUUUAAUCCUAAUCAAUAGGAAGAAAACGUCCAAAGUCAUUGAAGACAAAAACAGUACCAGAAAAGUUCAAAGUCUAUUCAUUAACUCUAGAGUUCAGAUUUGUUAGCUGCAAGCCGGGCUAUUCAGCCUCCCCAACCUGAUCUGUGCAAUGAAGACGAGAAGAUGAAGUGGAAGAUGAUUCUCAGUUGCUUAGGUUGGGACAUGGGAUGUCUAAUGCACUUUUGGGAAAUAUCUAGGUUCGUAAUUCUUUUUUUUACUUCUGCAACACUCCACAUGUUUUCUCACUCUUCCAAAAUGGAAUGACUGCCACAAAAAUCCUAAAAGCAAAAUUAAUUUAGUUUGCAAAAAGAAUAUGUCACAGGGAAUCGGAAUAUGCAGACUGUAUUUUCUUGGGUCAUUCUAAUUUCAAGGAUUCUGGCCUGUUACGAAAAAUAUACAUAUUAUUGGAUCACUUAUCUUCUUUGUGGUUCAGAAUAUUUGAUCCUGUUUUUCACGAAAGAUUUUCAGGACAGGAAAGGAGAUGGGGAAGGAGAAGUAUGGCUGGAAUAAUCUCGAAUUUCAAAAACCAUGUUUCAUUCCUAUCAUAUCAGUUCUUGUUUCUUUCAUGCAAUAAAUGAAAUCCAGUGUUUCUCACUCAGUGUUCCCCUGCUCCAAUUCCAGAUCCAUAAUUUGUGGUGACUUUUUGAUUAUUUGUGUGUGGGGGGGUAUCAUAAGGAAAUGCCAAAGAAGGCAGAAAAAUCUCCAGUUCCCACACAGUAAAGCAAAUGCUAUUUAUCAGACACUCCAACCCCAGGCAGCUUUCAGGUUCCGAGGUUCUUCAUCUUGGAACCUGCUUCCCACAUCUGAUGGAGCAGUCACAUGGAUUCACAUAUUCAAGUCAGGAUCAAAUUUGUCACUAGAGCUCAUUCUUGCUACCUUGCACAAAUUUAUCUCUUAACAGCAGAAGAUUCUAGGAAAUCUUCCUAUCUAGCCCAAGUGGUCCUGCUACUCUCUCCCCACUCCCCUCUGCCUUCCACAGGUCCUGGGUCUGACUCUCCAGGAGGCUGGGUUAAGGUGGCUCUCCAUCACAGUGGCAUCCAAGCCUUUUGUCCAGUCUUCCCAUCUCUGCACAGGCAACCCUGCAGUCCUGGCUGCAGCCUCUUCCC
rnacentral:lncRNA from 1 species